ACGCAGCUUAAUUUUUCCCAUCAUGUCUGUCUUUGAAGAAGUUGAUUUCAAAUCAACUUUUUCCCGUGAAUAAGCAAGCAUCAAAAUAAGCAGCCAAUCGCCUUGCUUUAAAUUUCGAGAAUUAAAAACUAAAAAAGUUGUUUUACUGCUAUUUUGAAUUGUAUAAAUAUCCGAAUAAUAUGUUAACAUAUUAAACUUUCGAGUGACCUGUCCGAUUCCCAACAUUGAUUAUUGAAAACUUAAUUUAUUAAUGACCAAUUUAAACGUUGAUUUUUCAAGAAUACAAAGUAUUUCCACAAGCAAAAACUUGGAAGCUCAUUUGAUAGAAGAAGUGAGAAGGCUUCCGUGUCUAUAGAAUACUACAACUCGCCCAUAUAAAGAAACACCUUUAAAAGUUGAAGCAUGGAGGCAUAUAUAUCUGCUUUAUUAAAUAUAGAAGGUAGCUAUUUA